AGAAGACAGCUGUUUCAGACUUUCAGCCUCUGAGGGAGAAUUGAGAACACUAGUGUGGGGGCGGUGGGAGAAGGCCAGGCCUCGGCCUGCUACAGCGCAAGUUCUGAGGGCAUUUCCUGUUGACACUGCCCUUACCCACACCCGGUUCCUUUCCCAUCCCUGUCUCCACCCUGGUGCCCCUGCUGACUGGCAACUUCAUGUGGCCUCUGCCAUGCUCAGUGUUAGCCCUCCUGGCUGUCCUGGCAUUGGAGAGGACGAACCCCACACAAUGCCAACUCCUGAGUGGUAAAGCUCCUAACCGUGCGUCUCACGGGUGACGCCGCUGACAUGCUCCUUGGCUCAUCUCAGGCAGGUGUCUCUUGGGUGGACACUCGCCCUUCCAGGGAGGUGCUGGGAUGACCCCGAGGAGGUUCAGGACCCAAGGGGUGAGCUGGAAAUAGUGUAGGCUUUCUUUGCCCUCUCCUCCUUCCCCACUGCCACACUGGGUACCGAUCCUUCCUCUCUGAUUCUCAGCUUCCAUGUCUGCAUGAUGGUGGUGAUGUUCCUUUCUCUUCCCUGUUGUUAGGAGGAUUGAAUUGUGCCUUUGAAAAAGGUCCAGCACAGUAGGUCCUCAGUAAAUGUGUUUCCUUUCUCUCCCUGCCUGCGUACCUGACAGUUAUUUGUACUUGAUUUGAACUUUCUAAAUGUACAAAUCUGCAUUCUGUCUGAGUCCCUGAAGCCCCUUGGUCCUUAGAGCAUGGGGUGUGGGGUGGGGAGGAGAAAAAGCACCAAGGCUGGAGCUCAGGGCAGGCUCCUUCCAGAUGGGGAGAUUGGCAGUGCCCCCCUGCUAGCCAUCAUUCAAGUUACCCAGGCCCAAAUUCUCCAUUUAUAAAAUGACAAUAAAGCUGAGCCCCUCAGGGAAACGGUCCAAAUAAAAUGAGAUAGUAUUUCCAGAGUGCUUGGCAGAGUGCCUGGCACGGGCUGAGUGCCCGGCAUGCGCUGGCCCUGAUCCCUUGCUCUCGGCCCUCCCCUGGGGGGCACUGCUUGCCCACCUUCCUACCUGACUGCUCCUUC